rnacentral:lncRNA from 1 species
AAAUUAUCUGUAGAUAUGCUAUUAUUACUGAUGGUGUUUCUAAUUCUCUUUAUCCAGAUCACACCAAUUUAAGGAAAAAGGCAUAGAGCAUCAGAUAAGAGCGAUGGUUGUGAUCAUGUGACCUUGAACACUUUUUGGGCAAAAUCAUCUUUCACAAGAAGAACUAAAGAAAGGAAGGAAGGAAGGAAGGAAGGAAGAAAGAAAGAAAGAAAGAAAGAAAGAAAGAAAGAAAGAAAGGAAGGAAGGAAGAAAGAAAGCAAGAGGGUUCUUUUCAGUGGAACUUCAGGAGCAAUAUCUUCUACCUCCAGACUCCCUUGUAGGUGCUUGAAGGAGUUGAGAAAGAUUUUCAGUGGAUAUACUUUCAGCCAUUAUCUGUGAGUUCAGCCCUGAGUCUUGAUCUAGGCUGUACAGAGCUUUGUAUCCUCAGGUUUGUAGUCCCCUUUCUUCAAUUUCCCUGGAGAGUGAGUGUCAAGUCUCUGGCUGCCUGAGGUACUUUCUGAUGGAUGGAGUUGUGUGUGUGUGGGGCAGGAGGCAGAGCAGCACUUGUGACAUAAACUUUCAACUUAC